CUUCACCAUUGCCCCCCGAUGCCUUCCAGUGUCCAAGUGCGGUCUUCUACUGCCCUGUCCUUCCUGUGAAAGGCAGAGAGGUCCUGCCCCCUUUCUGUGGCCCUCUUGUUUAACUUCUGCCCCCUCACCUCAGGUCCUGGCCUUCAAUCUCGUGACCCCUCCAGCUGUGAAUCUUGCCCUUUGCAAAUGCCUUCCAUACCGUUCAGCGGUCUCUUGGCUGCCGGCACUGGUCUCCAUCUGCUGAGAUGGCGUGGUGCCCGCUCACAAGAUGGCACGCUAUUUUUACCCGGCUUAGGUGCCAAGCCAGCCAGAUGUUUUUUAGCAGUGCAGGGAAGCUGAGCAUUGCUGGGGUGUGGAGGGAAGCUUCCAAAUGUCAGCUCCUUGGGGGGGCUCCGGGACAAGCAGAGGAAAGGCUCUGCCUGGAAGUGGGCAUCCCGAAGAGAUUUCCAGGUGCUGGUACCUGUGUGGGGCUCAGACAGCACACUGUGCACUGGCUGCUGGUUAUGGGCACCUGCCGGGCUGUGAUGGGUCUGCUCCAGGCAGGAAAUGUCCUGGGUCAUCCUUCCCUAGAGGGCUUGUGCUUCAUCCCCCCCCUGCUGAGAUCCAGGCAGUGAUGCCUGGGGACCUAUCCUUCUGGGGCUUCACUGAAUGCUUGGAAAAUUCUAGGUGUGGCUGGCUGCGUGAGGAACCCGCCAGAUCAGGCUGAGUCCAGGCAGUCGUUAGGAUCAGCUUUCCCUCAGAACAGAUGGAGCCAGAGAGCUUGUGUGCUUCAUGUGAGCCCUGGCAGCUGCCGGAAACAGUUUCUGGUCUUGAAGCUCACCUCGGUGAGAGCAGCAUGGGCUGAGAACACGGGAGCUGACUUCAGGUGUAACGGGAGGGCUGCAGGCUAGACCGCAAAGGAACAGCUCCCCGCUGACAGAAUGCUUGGAGAGACCCCAGGGAGAGCCCCGUGGCGACCACAGCACCGGCCUCCAGGUUACCCCAAGCACAUGAGGCUGGAGAAGGUUCUGGAGUGUCUUCAAGCGGUUCAAGGCUUCUGCCAGAAACAAUUGGGAAAACAGAAUGCAGCCCAGGAUCGAAAGAAUCUAUCCAUUCCUCUGGAAUUCUCCAUCUGUCCGGCUGGGCCCCAUAUUAACAUUUGAGUAAUUCCCUAAUGUGAAGUCGCCAGGCUUUAAAAAUAGUGCAGGCAGGCUUGCGUUUGCUAGUGGUUUCUCGCCUUCAAAUGUUGGCCUCAAGCCCUCUGUCCCCCUUGAACAUUCUCCACACCCCUGCCUAUCAUAAUUCCCUUGCCUGUCCUAAUUCAACCCAUUCAUUUAUAUGUACAGUGUUUGUCACCCCCCUUCUCUGUGCUGGACAUUGGUGGGUCUUGGGGUCGGUGGUGAGCAAAAUAGCUGUCACCAUCAUGAAACUCAGUCUGUGAAGAGGCAGGCCAAUUAAAAUUGGGUUAUUAGUGAUGGUUUCUAUAAAGCAGUGCUUCUCUGCUAUCUGUGAGCAAAGACCUAUUAUUUUUCAUUUCCCAUCAAACAUGGUCCUACUGUGCAUGAUUUGUGUGUAGUUUGUAUUGUGAGUUGGAUGAUACUUCACCCUGUCUAAUGAGAUGGGUCCACCCAUCCCCUGCUUGGAUGCCCUAUAAUAAAAGUUUCUAAACCCUCAAA